rnacentral:tRNA from 2 species
GCGGGGAUGGCGAAAUUGGUAGACGCACCAGGUUUAGGUCCUGACGCCAUUUAAACGGCGUGUCGGUUCGAGUCCGAUUCCCCGCACCA